CCGUUACUGUUGCUAAUAUGCAACUCUGUUCACACAGCUGGAAUUGCACUUUAGCAAUGGUGACGG
ensembl:miRNA MIR367 microRNA 367